rnacentral:rRNA from 1 species
AGAGCGAACGCUGGCGGCAGGCCUAACACAUGCAAGUCGAGCGCGUGUAGCAAUACACGAGCGGCAGACGGGAGAGUAACACGUGGGAACGCGCCCUUUGGUUCGGAAUAACUCAGGGAAACUUGAGCUAAUACCGGAUAAGCCCUUACGGGGAAAGAUUUAUCGCCAAAGGAACGGCCCGCGUCCGAUUAGCUAGUUGGUGAGGUAACGGCUCACCAAGGCUACGAUCGGUAGCUGGUCUAAGAGGAUGAUCAGCCUCACUGGGACUGAGACACGGCCCAGACUCCUACGGGAGGCAGCAGUGGGGAAUAUUGGACAAUGGGCGCAAGCCUGAUCCAGCCAUGCCGCGUGGAUGAUGAAGGCCUUAGGGUUGUAAAGUCCUUUUAACGGGGAAGAUAAUGACGGUACCCGUAGAAUAAGCCCCGGCUAACUUCGUGCCAGCAGCCGC